rnacentral:rRNA from 1 species
UAGCCUUGACAUACUACAGAAUUUGACAGAGAUGUUGAAGUGCCUUCGGGAGCUGUAAUACAGGUGCUGCACGGCUGUCGUCAGCUCGUGUCGUGAGAUGUUGGGUUAAGUCCCGCAACGAGCGCAACCCUCGUCCUUAGUUACUAACGGUUUGGCCGAGGACUCUAAGGAGACUGCCUUCGUAAGGAGGAGGAAGGUGAGGACGACGUCAAGUCAUCAUGGCCCUUACGGCUAGGGCAACACACGUGCUACAAUGGUUAGGACAAUGAGAAGCGAUACCGCGAGGUGGAGCAAAUCUAUAAACCUAAUCUCAGUUCGGAUAGCAGUCUGCAACUCGACUGCUUGAAGCAGGAAUCACUAGUAAUCGUAAAUCAGCUAUGUUACGGUGAAUACGUUCCCGGGUCU